UCCCACUAAGAUUUUAAAGUUCUUUCAGUCGCUAAGGCACUUUUAAGACCAAAGGAACGUAGCUCUGAAAAACUAUCAAAAAUAAUAAAUAUAGAUCGGAAUUAAAAUCAACGCGAAAAGUUCUUUAUUCUUGUUGUUGAAAAAAGUUUGAAUAUGGUAAAAAUAGUCAUCAAUAAAAAUUUGCUAACCAAAUCGAUGGAAGGAAAUAAAGUAAAAUUAUCCAUAAAACUGAAAUUGACGCGAAGAAAGCGUAUUGCUCCUAAAUUAAUCGAAAGGAAGACAUUAAUCAUAAUGAUAAGAUUAGGACAACAUGGAAUCAGAGAAUUGGAAAAAAAUAAAACGUAUACAAUUCGUAGGAAGAUUAAAACAUUAUUCUUUAAUGAAUAACUCACCAGAAAAUUGAAAGCCAUAAUGAUAAGAUUAAGAAGACACACAGAUUUUCCAUAACUUCAUAAAUGAGAAAAUCAUUAAGAAAAAAAAUAUAUUCAACGCAAAAAAAAAGCAAGAU